rnacentral:lncRNA from 1 species
GCUAAGGAAGCUCCCUGACACAGCAAACCAUGGCUGCAGUACACAAGUGUGCUACAGCCCAAUCCUGGACAUAUGGUCGUUACCAAAACCCCAGUCAUCUUCUUGAAGGAGCCUUAGUAUAGGAAACCAGAGGGUCAAGACCCAGGUAAGCUGGCCCGUGAGGCGUGGUUCCCAUCGCCAGGAGACAACAGCCGCGCUGACCAGCUGCUGGCAAUUUCUUCGGUCACCCUGCCUCUCAACUUCCAAAGCCCCAUGGUUUUCGGGUUUACCCACAUAUGACCCUUAUGUAAAUUUGCUUGUCCC